GCCGCAGUGGCCCAGUGGUAAGGUGUGCGACUUUGAUUCGUCAGGCCGUCGGUUCGAGGCCCCCCCCCCCGGGGUCUGAGGUU